GGAGGGCAGUAAUGCUGAAGCAAAUAAUUAUUCCCACAUAACAGGUGUCAGAUAGCACGAGAUGUUGCAUUUGUAAAGUGUCUGGACAGGGCCUUUCCCGCGGCGGCAGUAGAGAAGUCUCCCCAAAACCAGGUUAGCCGCUGUCACACGCACAGUGGUAUUGGGAUAGGCGCAAUGUACGUUAGUCAGUGGCUAACCUGAUUUCAGAUUCAUAAAAUAAAUCCUACAAAAUGAUAACUGAGGGGGAAAAAUGUGGUAUGUAUUAUACAGUAACAACACAAUAAUAGCAUAACAACAAUAAUAAUCAUCAUCAUCAUCUUAUUUGAUAUCAACAUGGCAUGCAAAUAUAGGAUACAAUUCAUUGUGGCUAUAGGAAUGGUUUUACAGCGCACGUUGCGUAAAUAGUGUGCAUUCAAAUACUGAAAAUAACUUUUGGAUUCGAAACUAUGUGCAAUCUCAGUUGGUUUGGCAGGCUCCUCCUUCACAUAUUCACCUACAUUUUCGAUACAUUUCGGUUGUAAAAUAUUUAGCAUGGUUCUCAUUUAUCCUAUCAGUCAAAUUACAAGAUGAUCAACAACAAGGGAAGUAAUUCUACAACAUAGGCCUAACACAUCAUCAAAUUCAACGUUGCAUCGAGCUACCUCAAAAACAUUUGGAAAAUAUUCUCAGGAAAUUAUUACAACAUUUCACCAGAUAAAGAUACAGAAGUCUACUCACCAAUCUCCCAUAGAUAAUGUGUAAGAGAAAAUAACUCCAAAUAGCUCUGAAGAGUGCCACGCGUUCAUACAUUCACUGUAACUGUUUUCUCAAAAAUAUGUCAAAUAUUUCAUUAAAGUUAGGUGAAUGUAAAGAAUAGCAGUUUAGGCCACACUAACCCAGAAGUUCAGUUCAGUUCACUUGCGCUACCCCAAAACUACCCAUUCCCCUGCAUCUCUGUAACCUGACCUGCAUAUGCAAAGCAUACAGAUAUUGGCGUCUUGUAAAGCCUGUGGACACUAUUCCUACUGUACAGCCCGCCCAAUAAACACAACCAUCGAAUUACAGCGUCCAAUUGGUGUACUUAACACCACCAAUGGGUUUAGUGGAUUUCCUUGAGUUAUGGUUGGGGUGCGGCGCGUUCGUUUCUGCACGUCUCAGGCUAUAGUAGGAAUAAACCAUUUUCGAGUCAUCAAUUUCCUUCCAUCGGCAAUAUUAAUCAGAAAGGCGGUUGCGAUAAGGUUCUCCCCGUCUAAAUCGGGCAAACUGUAAUGCAACAUUGGUCGUCGGAGUCAAGAGGCGUGCAUUUAACCCGUUUUGCGAAAAAGCGCUCUACCCGUACUACCCGACCUGAGCCCUAGGACCAUGCCCCAGGACUACCUGACAUGAUGACUCCUUGCUGUCCCCAGUCCACCUGGCCAUGCUGCUGCUCCAGUUUCAUCUGACCUGAGCCCUAGGACCAUGCUCCAGGACUACCUGACAUGAUGACUCCUUGCUGUCCCCAGUCCACCUGGCCAUGCUGCUGCUCCAGUUUCAACUGUUCUGCCUUACUAUUAUUCGACCAUGCUGGACCUGAGCCCUAGGACCGUGCCCCAGGACUACCUGACAUGAUGACUCCUUGCUGUCCCCGGUCCACCUGACUGUGCUGCUGCUCCAGUUUCAACUGUUCUGCCUUGUUAUUAUUCGACCAUGCUGGUCAUUUAUGAACAUUUGAACAUCUUGGCCAUGUUCUGUUAUAAUCUCCACCCGGCACAGCCAGAAGAGGACUGGCCACCCCACAUAGCCUGGUUCCUCUCUAGGUUUCUUCCUAGGUUUAGGCCUUUCUAGGGAGUUUUUCCUAGCCACCGUGCUUCUACACCUGCAUUGCUUGCUGUUUGGGGUUUUAGGCUGGGUUUCUGUACAGCACUUUGAGAUAUUAGCUGAUGUACGAAGAGCUAUAUAAAUACAUUUGAUUUGAUUUGAUUAAAUACUCUGGCAAGUGUGCUACUCUAGUGUCACGUUGAUUAUGCCUGCACAUCAUGGUUCACCAACAGCCUCAAACAUCUAAAGAACAAGCUACAGACCAGUCAAACAAGCUUGAAAGAUUUGUACUUCAACUCCUCCCCAUACUCAUCUGGAGGUUGAACAUUUUCUUGUUUGUACAGUGCAUUCGGAAAGUAUUCAGACCCCUUGACUUUUUCCAAAUGUUGUUACAUAACAGCCUUAUUCGGGCUCUGGCAGGGCCCCUCAAGGACAUUCAGAGACUUCUCCCAAAGCCACUCCUGCAUUUUAUUAGCUGUGUGCUUAGGGUCAUUAUCCUGUUGGAAGGUGAACCGUCGCAACAGUCUGAGGUCCUGAGCGCUCUGGAGCAGGUUUUCAUCUCUCUGUACUUUGCUCAGUUCAUCUUUCCCUCGAUCCUGACUAGCCGCUAAAAAAACUCCCCACAGCAUGACGCUUCCACCACCAUGCUUCACAAUAGGGAUGGUGCUAUGUUUCCUCCAUACGUGACGCUUGGCAUUCAGGCCGAAGAGUUCAAUAUUGGUUUCAUCAGACCAGAGAAUCUUGUUUCUCAUGGUCUGAGAGUUCUUUAGGUGACAAACUAAGGGUUGUAAUGUGCCUUUUACUGAGGAGUGGCUUCCGUCUGGCCACUCUACCAUAAAGCCGUGACUGGUGGAGUGCUGCUGAGAUGUUUGUCUUUCUGGAAGGUUCUCCCAUCUCCUAGAGAAACUCUAGUUCUAGAACUAGUUUUGCUAGAGUGACCAUUGGGUUCUUGGUCACCUCCCUGACCGGGGCCCUUUUCCCUCGAUUGCUCAGUUUAGCCGGGUGGCCAGCUCUAGGAAGAGUAUUGAUGGUUCCAAACUUCUUCCAUUUAAGAAUGAUGGAGGCCACUGUGUUCUUGGCAACCUUCAAUGCUGCAGAAAUGUUUUGGUGCCCUUCCCCAGAUCUGUGCCUUGACACAAUCCUGUCUCGGAGCUCUACGGACAAUUCCUUCGACCUCAUGGCUUGGUUUUUGCGCUGACAUGCACUGUCAACAGUGGGACCUUAGAUAGACAGGUGUGUGCCUUUCCAAAUCAUGUUCAAUCAAUUGAAUUUACCACAGGUGGAGUCCAGUCAAGUUGUAGGAACAUCUCCAGGAUGAUCAAUGGAAACGGGAUGCACCUGAGCUCAAUUUCAAGUCUCAUAGGCAAGGGUCUGAAUACUUAUGUAAAUAAGGUAUUUCUGUUUUUUAUUUGUAAUAAAUACUUGUUUUUGUUUUGUCAUUAUGGGGUAUUGUGUGUAGAUUGAUGAGGAAAAUGUUUUAUUAAAUCCAUUUUAGAAUAAGGCUGUAACGUAUCAAAAUGUGGAAAAGGCCAAGUGGUCUGAAUACUUUCUGAAUGCACUGUAUAUCAUUUAAUUAACAAUACAUUUAUUUUUUUGUUCAAUGCAACUUCAAAUGGCAUAAAUAUCAUAAAUAAAUUAGUGUUAUAGAAAAUAUAUAGACCAAUAUACAGUACCAUUGAAAAGUUUGGGGUCACCUAGAAAUGUCCUUGUUUUUUAAAGGAAAGCACAUGUUUUGUUCAUUAAAAUAACAUCAAAUUGAAA